rnacentral:rRNA from 1 species
UACGUAGGGCGCAAGCGUUUGUCCGGAAUUAUUGGGCGUAAAGAGCUCGUAGGCGGCUUGUCACGUCGGGUGUGAAAGCCCGGGGCUUAACCCCGGGUCUGCAUUCGAUACGGGCUGGCUAGAGUGUGGUAGGGGAGAUCGAAUUCCUGGUGUAGCGGUGAAAUGCGCAGAUAUCAGGAGGAACACCGGUGGCGAAGGCGGAUCUCUGGGCCGAUACUGACGCUGAGGAGCGAAAGCGUGGGGAGCGAACAGG